rnacentral:rRNA from 1 species
UACGUAGGGGGCAAGCGUUGUCCGGAUUUAUUGGGCGUAAAGAGCGUGUAGGCGGCUAGGUAGGUCCGUUGUGAAAACUCGAGGCUCAACCUCGAGACGUCGAUGGAAACCAUCUAGCUAGAGUCCGGAAGAGGAGAGUGGAAUUCCUGGUGUAGCGGUGAAAUGCGCAGAUAUCAGGAGGAACACCGAUGGCGAAGGCAGCUCGCUGGGACGGUACUGACGCUGAGGCGCGAAAGCGUGGGGAGCAAACAGG